rnacentral:lncRNA from 1 species
GCUAAAAAUAUUCAUGUGAACUUUUGAUACCUUUUCUAAAAUUCUCCAGUCAUUAAAUCUUUUACAAAAUUCAUUGAUUACAAAAAAAAAGAAGAUGUGGUAUGAUUGCCAUGUUGAGACAACUCUUCACAAGAGACCAAUAUGACACAAAAAUUAACAACUAUAGGUCACCAUACGACCUUCAACAACGAGCAAAGCCCAUACCCCAUACUCAGCUUUAAAAGGCCC